GAUUGGCUGGCUCAGUAGGUAGAGCAUGUGACUCUCGAUCUCAGGGUUGUGAGUUUGAGCCCCAUGUCAAGUG
rnacentral:tRNA from 1 species